AACGAACGCUGGCGGCAUGCCUAACACAUGCAAGUCGAACGGAAACUUCCGGUCUUUUGGGGCACGGGUGCGUAACGCGGGGGAAGCUACCCGUAGGUUCGGAGUAACUGCCCGUGAGGGGUGCUAAGAACGGAGAGUGUCUUCGCACCAAAGAGUUAUCGCCGUUGGGUGGGGGCGCGUUGGCUUAGCUAGUUGGUAGGGUAAAAGCCGACCAAGGGGACGAUGCAUAGCUGGUCUGAGAGGAUGAUUAGCCACACUGGGACUGAGACCCGGCCCAGACUCGUACGCGAGGGAGCAGUGGGGAAUAUUGGACAAUGGGCGAAAGCCUGAUCCAGCCAUGCCGCGUGAGUGAUGAAGGCCUUAGGGUUGUAAAGCUCUUUUACCCGGGAUGAUAAUGACAGUACCGGGAGAAUAAGCACCGGCUAACUCCGUG
rnacentral:rRNA from 1 species